GAUGAACGCUGGCGGCGUGCCUAAUACAUGCAAGUCGAGCGAACGGACGAGAAGCUUGCUUUUCUGAUGUUAGCGGCGGACGGGUGAGUAACACGCGGAUAACCUACCUAUAAGACUGGGAUAACUUCGGGAAACCGGAGCUAAUACCGGAUAAUAUUUUGAACCGCAUGGUUCAAAAGUGAAAGACGGACUUGCUGUCACUUAUAGAUGGAUCCGCGCUGCAUUAGCUAGUUGGUAAGGUAACGGCUUACCAAGGCAACGAUGCAUAGCCGACCUGAGAGGGUGAUCGGCCACACUGGAACUGAGACACGGUCCAGACUCCUACGGGAGGCAGCAGUAGGGAAUCUUCCGCAAUGGGCGAAAGCCUGACGGAGCAACGCCGCGUGAGUGAUGAAGGUCUUCGGAUCGUAAAACUCUGUUAUUAGGGAAGAACAUAUGUGUAAGUAACUGUGCACAUCUUGACGGUACCUAAUCAGAAAGCCACGGCUAACUACGUG
rnacentral:rRNA from 1 species